GAUUAACUCAAUCAGUAGGGCAUGAGGCUCUUAAUUUCAGGGUCGUGGGUUUGAGCCCCAUGUUGGGCAACA